rnacentral:lncRNA from 1 species
GUAGGUCUUUCAUCUCUGUGUGUGUUUCCCUCAGUUCCACGACCCUGACCCUGCCUGACUCAGAAUCUCUACUUAUGGCCCUUCUAUGGUCUCUUCUUCACAAUGCAAACAUUCCACUGUCUCCAGUUCUUUUAGUCUCACCCACUGAGACUCAUUUCAGUUAGCCUCCCUGAGGCGUUUUCAACUGCAAAGAUCUUGCUCUUGGUAACUCCUAAAUUCCAGACCCACAAAAUGGUGUACCUCCUGAGCGUUUUGUAAAUAUGACAAAUCUGAAGCUAUCCCCAUGGAGGUAGCUUCAUUUGGAAGACAGUAAGAAACGUGUGUCUUCGUGGAAGAUUCCAGCAUGACCAAUGAUGUCGAUGUGGACAAAGGCUUUGCCAUAGCCUUCGUUGUCCUUGUGUUCGUGUUUCUAAUAGUGAUGGUUUUUCGGUGUGUAAAGUUGGUGAGGAAUCCCUAUUAGGUCAGCUCUCCAACUGCAGACUCACCUCUGAACUGAAGUACCAUGGAACCCAGUGGUCUCCUGUCACAAGAGACUUGCAAUCUUUUUAUAGGGGGCAGUACUUUUAGCAGGGUCUUACACAGCCAAGGCUUCCCUUGAACCCCUGACCCCUGUUUCUCCUCUACCUCCUAAAUACAGGGCCUACAAAGAAUGCUCCAGCACAACAUUCAACAUCUUUCAUACUGCUGUGUGUGAUCCAGACUUUACAGUCCCUUACCUCUGCAUGUCUCAACCUUGCCCUCUCGUGUUCUGUAACAAGCACAUAGGAGUCAAGUAUCUCUCCAGAGAGAAAAGUCAGGCUAUUUUUCAUUGUUCUUUUUCAAGGAAUCCAUUACUAAAGUUGAACUUAUUGACUAGAUUAAGGCUAUGAGUUUCAAUUGUCCCCUAUCUAAUGUCCCUGGGGUAGGAUAGUGGAUCUUAAUUUAAUGAUGUAAUGUAACAUGAUACUAUGCUUGGUGAGGCCCAUCUCAAACUGGAAGCGGACCAGGACAAGGCC